AUGUUUUGCCGUGUGGUUAAACCGGCUCUGGCUGCGGCCGUGGGAGGAGGGGUGUGCUCACCCUGUGAUUACACCCCCACACUUAAAACACGGAUGGGGACACAUCCAGACCCAUCCCACAGCACCCUGCAGCCACGGGAACUGGGUGCCACAGCCCCGAGUGCCGUUCCCAGUGUGGCCCCUGCCAAAAGGAGGUCAGCCUGGGCCCAUGCUGUGGCUAAUCCAGCCGGCAAAUCCCCUGGAGGCACAUGUGCUGGGCACACGUGGCCAGAGCAGGGCCAGGAUGUGGCACCCAGGGAUCGGGAUGGGGCACCCAGGGGUCAGGAUGUGGCACUGGAGGCUGCCCCCAGGCUGCGGGUGCUGAGGGGUGUCCAGUGUGGGGGGCGGUUGGGUUUUGGUACUCGGGUGUUGAUGUGUGUCCAUGUCACUCAGGUGUGCCCAUGUCCCUGCCUGUGCCAUGGCUGUGGGUGCCCAUGUCCCUGUGUCCCCAUGUGUCCCUAUAUCCACAUGUGGGGAUGUGGAUAUCUGUGUCCCCAUGUCUGUUCCUGUCCCUGUCAUUCUCCUGGUGACAGUUGGUUUCCCUGUCCCUGCGCCCAUCCCUGUUCCUGUUCUCCUGCUGCUGCUGGUUCCCAUUCUGGUCCCAGCACUUGUCCCUGUCUUGCUCCUGCUCCCAGUCCCUGCCCCUGUUUCUCUCCUGCUUCCCAUCCUCCUCCUGGUCCCUCUGCAUUUUCCCAUCCCGGUCCUGGCCUUUGUCCCCGUGUUGGUCCCACUUCCUGUUGUUCUUCCAGUGCCUCUCCUUUUUCCUGUUUUCCACCAGGUUCCUGCUUCUGUUCCUGGUCUCAUCCUUGUCUCUGCUCCUGCUCCCUCCCUGUCCCAGUGCUGGUUCCCAUCCCAGUCUCAGUCCUUGGCUGUGUUAAAUCUCCAUCCUGGUCCCAGUUGCAUGUCCCUGUCCCUCUGUUAGUCCCUGUCCCGAUCACCUUCCUCAUCCCUGCUCUGUCCAAGUGUCCAGCUCGGUCAUGCUCCUUGUCCCUGUCUCAGUCUUGGUCCCUGUUCACUGUCACUGUACUUCUCCUGCUCUCUGUCCUCAUCCUGGUCUGCAUCCCCAUCCCUAUCUCCUAUCCUGGCAGUGGUUCCUGUCCCUGUUCUUGUCCCAGUCUCCAUCCCUGUCCCCAUCCCCUGUCUCUGCAAUUAUCCCGACCCUUGUCUCGAACCCUGUCCCAAUUCCCAUCCUGA
rnacentral:lncRNA from 1 species